rnacentral:rRNA from 1 species
GCAGCUUGCUGCUUCGCUGACGAGUGGCGGACGGGUGAGUAAUGUCUGGGAAGCUGCCUGAUGGAGGGGGAUAACUACUGGAAACGGUAGCUAAUACCGCAUAAUGUCGCAAGACCAAAGAGGGGGACCUUCGGGCCUCUUGCCAUCGGAUGUGCCCAGAUGGGAUUAGCUUGUUGGUGGGGUAACGGCUCACCAAGGCGACGAUCCCUAGCUGGUCUGAGAGGAUGACCAGCCACACUGGAACUGAGACACGGUCCAGACUCCUACGGGAGGCAGCAGUGGGGAAUAUUGCACAAUGGGCGCAAGCCUGAUGCAGCCAUGCCGCGUGUAUGAAGAAGGCCUUCGGGUUGUAAAGUACUUUCAGCGGGGAGGAAGGGAGUAAAGUUAAUACCUUUGCUCAUUGACGUUACCCGCAGAAGAAGCACCGGCUAACUCCGUGCCAGCGGCCGCGGUAAUACGGAGGGUGCAAGCGUUAAUCGGAAUUACUGGGCGUAAAGCGCACGCAGGCGGUUUGUUAAGUCAGAUGUGAAAUCCCCGGGCUCAACCUGGGAACUGCAUCUGAUACUGGCAAGCUUGAGUCUCGUAGAGGGGGGUAGAAUUCCAGGUGUAGCGGUGAAAUGCGUAGAGAUCUGGAGGAAUACCGGUGGCGAAGGCGGCCCCCUGGACGAAGACUGACGCUCAGGUGCGAAAGCGUGGGGAGCAAACAGGAUUAGACACCCUGGUAGUCCACGCCGUAAACGAUGUCGACUUGGAGGUUGUGCCCUUGAGGCGUGGCUUCCGGAGCUAACGCGUUAAGUCGACCGCCUGGGGAGUACGGCCGCAAGGUUAAAACUCAAAUGAAUUGACGGGGGCCCGCACAAGCGGUGGAGCAUGUGGUUUAAUCCGAUGCAACGCGAAGAACCUUACCUGGUCUUGACAUCCACGGAAGUUUUCAGAGAUGAGAAUGUGCCUUCGGGAACCGUGAGACAGGUGCUGCAUGGCUGUCGUCAGCUCGUGUUGUGAAAUGUUGGGUUAAGUCCCGCAACGAGCGCAACCCUUAUCCUUUGUUGCCAGCGGUCCGGCCGGGAACUCAAAGGAGACUGCCAGUGAUUAACUGGAGGAAGGUGGGGAUGACGUCAAGUCAUCAUGGCCCUUACGACCAGGGCUACACACGUGCUACAAUGGCGCAUACAAAGAGAAGCGACCUCGCGAGAGCAAGCGGACCUCAUAAAGUGCGUCGUAGUCCGGAUUGGAGUCAGCAACUCGACUCCAUGAAGUCGGAAUCGCUAGUAAUCGUGGAUCAGAAUGCCACGGUGAAUACGUUCCCGGGCCUUGUACACACCGCCCGUCACACCAUGGGAGUGGGUUGCAAAAGAAGUAGGUAGCUUAACCUUCGGGAGGGCGCUUACCACUUUGUGAUUCAUGACUGGGGUGAAGUCGGAACAAGGUA